rfam:Dipodomys ordii contig_68884, whole genome shotgun sequence.
GGUGGCUCAGUGGUAGAGUGCUUGUCUUGCAUGCAUGAGACCCUGGGUUCGAUUCCUCAGCACCA